rnacentral:rRNA from 1 species
AUUGAACGCUGGCGGUAGGCCUAACACAUGCAAGUCGAACGGCAGCACAGUAAGAGCUUGUUCUUACGGGUGGCGAGUGGCGGACGGGUGAGGAAUACAUCGGAAUCUACUUUUGCGUGGGGGAGAACGUGGGAAACUUACGCUAAUACCGCAUACGACCUACGGGGGAAAGCAGGGGAUCUUCGGACCUUGCGCUAUGGAAUGAGCCGAUGUCGGAUUAGCUAGUUGGCGGGGUAAAGGCCCACCAAGGCGACGAUCCGUAGCUGGUCUGAGAGGAUGAUCAGCCACACUGGAACUGAGACACGGUCCAGACUCCUACGGGAGGCAGCAGUGGGGAAUAUUGGACAAUGGGCGCAAGCCUGAUCCAGCCAUACCGCGUGGGUGAAGAAGGCCUUCGGGUUGUAAAGCCCUUUUGUUGGGAAAGAAAAGCAGCAGGUUAAUACCCCGCUGUUCUGACGGUACCCACAGAAUAAGCACCGGCUAACUUCGUG